rnacentral:rRNA from 14 species
AGUCUAUGCCAUACCAUCCUGAAUGUGCCCAAUCUUGUUGAUACUGGAAGCUAAGCAGGGCUGGGCCUGUUUAGUACUUGGAGGGUUGGGGGGGAGAAAGAGCUAUUUAUAUCU